UGGCGGCUGCCUUACCAUGCAAGUCGAACGGCAGCACGGGAGCAAUCCUGGUGGCGAGUGGCGAACGGGUGAGUAAUAUAUCGGAACGUGCCCAGUCGUGGGGGAUAACGUAGAGAAAUUUACGCUAAUACCGCAUACGAUCUAAGGAUGAAAGCGGGGGACUUCGCAAGAGGCCUCGCGCGAUUGGAGCGGCUGAUAUCAGAUUAGGUUGUUGGUGAGGUAAAAGCUCACCAAGCCGACGAUCUGUAGCUGGUUUGAGAGAACGACCAGCCACACCGGGACUGAGACACGGCCCAGACUCCUACGGGAGGCAGCAGUGGGGAAUUUUGGACAAUGGGCGAAAGCCUGAUCCAGCAAUGCCGCGUGCAGGAAGAAGGCCUUCGGGUUGUAAACUGCUUUUGUACGGAACGAAAAGGUCCGCUUUAAUACAGUGGGCCCAUGACGGUACCGUAAGAAUAAGCACCGGCUAACUACGUGCCAGCAGCCGCGGUAAU
rnacentral:rRNA from 1 species